AAAGAAAAGGCGCACAAUUUAUGAAUCAUCACAGACACAAGAUCUUAGACAUUUCAUUUAGAAGAUACUUCCGAUAUACCGUUCCCUAAGCUCAGGGCAUCGAACCGCGGCUCGGUUCGGUUUCAAAAUGAAACAGACAAACAGAUACGGGAUAUUUUUAAAGGAUUUAUGAAAGUAUUCCAUAAUGAGAGCGCUAAAAAUUCUCAAAAACCAUUUGUGUUGCUUUAAAUUCUUUAAAAGAUAUUACAAAUGAUUACGAAAAGAGAAGAAGGAAUAAAAAUACAAAUUUCGCUAAUUUGGACGAAUAAUUUUAUAAAAUGAAAAAUUACAGAGAUUAUAUUGGUCUUUAAAUGGAAAAAUGAGAAUAUAACUUUUGCCAAUUUCAAAACUUUAAUAAUAUCAUUUUCAGAACGAAAAGAGAUUGUAUAACUGAACUAUUAUUUCUUCAAUAAAUAAAUGAAAAUAUAAGUUUUUAUUGAUUUUAAAGACUUUGAUUAAAUCGUUAUGAAGAUUUUAGAUAAUUAAUCAUAAAUAAUUUGUCAAAACACAUCGACGGCUUGGUCUGCAACAAGUUGUACAAUUUUUAUAUUAUAAAUUCUUUUCAAAACGCACUUUCGAAUGUAUCCAUCGCGAUAAUUUUAAUUUCGCGUCGAUUCAAUGCCUUAGUAAAUGGCAUAUUUUUCUAGUUUAAAUAGCGAGACGUAGAUAUAUCGAACCAUAAAAAAAAAGAGCAAAAGAAAUGUUCCGUUCGUAUCGUCAGCAUUCUACGCCAAAAUUGAAUUAUCCUCAACCGCUCCAUAAUGGAAUCCGGAUGGCAUAGUCGCACGCGAUCUGAUCAUCGCGAAAAAAGGAGAGAACCAAGAUGCUCUCAACAACCGCGAGAUUCUCUUAGAGAAACAGUCGAGAAGAUUGUAAAAUAUCCAGUUACUUGCUGAAUAGCAAGCAUCAGGGCAUGAAAUUCAACGAAAAUGGAGGAGGAAACUUUGUUGUUGUUGCGAUCUCUACGAAGGCAUAUCAUGUUGUCGAGACCAUUUGCGUCACCAUCGCCGCCUCUCACGUCGUUUCGUAUCCUCAAUAAGAUCGUCCUUCCAAGAUCGGACACGUGGAUGCACUGCAGAUGCAGGACGAGUUCGCGAUCGCGCGAUACUUAUUGACGAUGAGAUAGAGCCCAAUGGCACACACAAAGCUGUCCUUCGUCCUGUUCGAAAAAAGAAAAAGAUAAAUGAAUUGAUCUAGAAACCGUUUUUGUAUAUAGUGAAAAAUGUUACGCAGAUUGUAAAAUCGGUUACCAUGGCCUAGCCACACAUCCCCGUCCGCGGCUAAACUUUAGCGCAGAGUUGUUAAAUAUCACACACACACACACACACACACACACACACACACACAAGAAAAAACAUACAAAUACAUACAUACAUAUACACAGAUACAUAUAUCACAUUUUAUUACAUCUACGAAUAUAUUGUUAGCCUUAGAUUAACUAUUAGAGGCAUCCACAUUGAGCACCGUUGACGCAAACCGAUAAUCGCAUUGUAUUUAGCGUAUCCUUCGGAAAUUUGCGAGACCCACGAGUGCAUUAGAUGCGAAAUCGAUAGAUUAGCCGCUUUCGUAAAGGCAGGUCGAAGUAAAUUCAGCCGGAAGCAUCUGUGUUUGUUAGAUGUUUUGUAUAAAACGGGAAAAUUGAGCCAAUAAAAAAAUAUUCUACAAAAA